rnacentral:rRNA from 1 species
UAGGGAAUCUUCCGCAAUGGACGCAAGUCUGACGGAGCAACGCCGCGUGAGUGAAGAAGGAUUUCGGUUCGUAAAACUCUGUUGUUAGAGAAGAACAGCGCAUAGAGUAACUGUUAUGCGUGUGACGGUAUCUAACCAGAAAGCCACGGCUAACUACGUGCCAGCAGCCGCGGUAAUACGUAGGUGGCAAGCGUUGUCCGGAUUUAUUGGGCGUAAAGCGAGCGCAGGCGGUCAAUUAAGUCUGAUGUGAAAGCCCCCGGCUCAACCGGGGAGGGUCAUUGGAAACUGGUUGACUUGAGUGCAGAAGAGGAGAGUGGAAUUCCAUGUGUAGCGGUGAACUGCGUAGAUAUAUGGAGGAACACCAGUGGCGGAGGCGACUCUCUGGUCGGUAACUGACGCUGAGGUUCGAAAGCGUGGGUAGCAAACGGG